rnacentral:rRNA from 1 species
UGCGUAGGCGGAUAGAAAAGUCAGAUGUGAAAGCCCAGGGCUCAACCCUGGAACUGCAUUUGAAACUGCCUAUCUAGAAUCCAACAGAGGCUGAUGGAAUUCCGAGUGUAGAGGUGAAAUUCGCAGAUAUUCGGAGGAACACCAGUGGCGAAGGCGAUCAGCUGGGUUGGUAUUGACGCUGAGGUACGAAAGCGUGGGGAGCAAACA